GACAGAGGGUGCUAGCGUUGUUCGGAAUUACUGGGCGUAAAGGGCGCGUAGGCGGCCCGUUUAGUCGGGUGUGAAAUCCCGGGGCUCAACCCCGGAACUGCAUUCGAUACUGGCGGGCUUGAGACCGGAAGAGGUGGGUGGAAUACCCAGUGUAGAGGUGAAAUUCGUAGAUAUUGGGUGGAACACCGGUGGCGAAGGCGGCUCACUGGUCCGGUUCUGACGCUGAGGCGCGAAAGCGUGGGGAGCAAACGGG
rnacentral:rRNA from 1 species